UGGGGAAUCUUAGACAAUGGGGGAAGCCCUGAUCUAGCCAUGCCGCGUGAGUGACGAAGGCCCUAGGGUCGUAAAGCUCUUUCGCCAGGGAAGAUAAUGACGGUACCUGGUAAAGAAACCCCGGCUAACUCCGUGCCAGCAGCCGCGGUAAUACGAAGGGGGCUAGCGUUGUUCGGAAUUACUGGGCGUAAAGCGCACGUAGGCGGACCAUUAAGUCAGGGGUGAAAUCCCGGGGCUCAACCUCGGAAUUGCCUUUGAUACUGGUGGUCUUGAGUGCGAGAGAGGUGAGUGGAACUCCGAGUGUAGAGGUGAAAUUCGUAGAUAUUCGGAAGAACACCAGUGGCGAAGGCGGCUCACUGGCUCGGUACUGACGCUGAGGUGCGAAAGCGUGGGGAGCAAACAGGAUUAGAUACCCCGGUAGUCC
rnacentral:rRNA from 1 species